AUCUACUGCCAUACCACCCUGAACGCGCCCGAUCUCGUCUGAUCUCGGAAGCUAAGCAGGGUCGGGCCUGGUUAGUACUUGGAUGGGAGAACAUAACACCUACAGUAAUCCAAAUAUAGUCAGUA
rnacentral:rRNA from 1 species